UACGUAGGGGGCAAGCGUUGUCCGGAUUUAUUGGGCGUAAAGAGCGUGUAGGCGGCCAUACAGGUCCGUUGUGAAAACUGGAGGCUUAACCUCCAGACGUCGAUGGAAACCGCAUGGCUAGAGUCCGGAAGAGGAGAGUGGAAUUCCUGGUGUAGCGGUGAAAUGCGCAGAUAUCAGGAAGAACACCCGUGGCGAAGGCGGCUCUCUGGGACGGUACUGACGCUGAGACGCGAAAGCGUGGGGAGCGAACAGG
rnacentral:rRNA from 1 species